rnacentral:rRNA from 1 species
AACGAACGCUGGCGGCAUGCCUAACACAUGCAAGUCGAACGAGACCUUCGGGUCUAGUGGCGCACGGGUGCGUAACGCGUGGUAACCUGCCCUUAGGUUCGGAAUAACUCCCCGAAAGGGGUGCUAAUACCGGAUAAUGUCUUCGGAGCAAAGAUUUAUGGCCGUUGGAUGGGCGCGCGUUGGAUUAGCUAGUUGGUAGGGUAAAAGCCUACCAAGGGGACGAUGCAUAGCUGGUCGGAGAGCAUGCUACACCAGGCUGGGAAUGAGACACGGCCCACAAUCCGACGCAAGGCAGCAGUGUGGUAUAUUGUAGGAGGGGCGCAAGCGUGACACAGCCAUGCGGCGUAAGUGAUGAAGCCGUUAGGGUUGCAAAGCUCUCUUAGCCGGGAUGAUAAUGACAGUAACGGGAGAAUAAGCACCGGCUAACUACGUG